rnacentral:lncRNA from 1 species
AGGAGAGGCAAAGCCAGGCAAUUAUCGCUUAUCUGUUUCAUAAACCUCUCCCCCCCUUUAAUUUUUUAAAAGGAUGUUAAAGUGCUUUCUGGGGGCCAGUGAGAAAGAAAGAAAGAAAGAAAGAAAGAAAGAAAGAAAGAAAGAAAGAAAGAAAGAAAGAAAGAAAGAAAGAAAGAAAGAAAGAAAGAAAGAAAGAAAGAAAGAGAGAGAGAGAGAAAGAAAGAGAGAAUCUUUCUUCUGUUUGAUUGAAAGAAAGAAAGAAAGAAAGAAAGAGAAAGAAAGAAAGACUCAUCUUUUUGAGUUCAAAUCUGGUCUCAGACAUUUGUUAUCAUGGGUGUUUUGUACUGAUGGAAUUUCAGGCACUGUGACAAGGAGACUUGGAGGGAUAUCUAUCUAUCUAUCUAUCUAUCUAUCUAUCUAUCUAUCCAUCCAUCUAUCUAUCUAUCUAUCUAUCUAUCUAUCCAGCCAAUGAGCAAUUCCACUGGGUUUUACAUGUGUCAUUGAUCAAG